rnacentral:rRNA from 1 species
AGAGUUUGAUCCUGGCUCAGGACGAACGCUGGCGGCGUGCCUAACACAUGCAAGUCGAACGAAGAGGCCCCUUCGGGGGUACUUCAGUGGCGGACGGGUGAGUAACACGUAGGCGACCUGCCCCGAAGCAGGGGAUAACGGCUCGAAAGGGCCGCUAAUACCCAAAAGGAUCGCGUAUCAAAGCGCGAUCAGAGUUACGGCGUUUCGGGAGGGGCCUGCGGCCCAUCAGCUAGUUGGUAGGGUAAUGGCCUACCAAGGCUACGACGGGUAGGGGGCCUGAGAGGGUGAUCCCCCACAUUGGCACUGACACACGGGCCAAACUCCUACGGGAGGCAGCAGUGAGGAAUAUUGCACAAUGAGCGAAAGCUAGAUGCAGCAACACCGCGUGGAUGAUGAAGGCCUUCGGGUCGUAAAAUCCUUUUCAGAGGGACGAGUGAGGACGGUACCUCUGGAAUAAGUCACGGCUAACUACGUGCCAGCAGCCGCGUAAAACGUAGGUGGCGAGCGUUAUCCGGAUUCACUGGGCGUAAAGCGCCUGCAGGCGGUCUUGUAAGUGGGAUGUGAAAUCUCCUGGCUUAACUGGGAGGGGUCAUUCCAUACUGCGAGACUGGAGGGCAGAAGAGGGAAGUGGAAUUCCCGGUGUAGUGGUGAAAUGCGUAGAUAUCGGGAGGAACACCAGUGGCGAAGGCGACUUCCUGGUCUGCUUCUGACGCUAAGAGGCGAAAGCUAGGGGAGCGAACGGGAUUAGAAACCCCGGUAGUCCUAGCCAUAAACGUUGGAUACUAGGUGUUGGUGGUCCUAACCCCAUCAGUGCCGAAGCUAACGCGUUAAGUAUCCCGCCUGGGGACUACGGCCGCAAGGUUAAAACUCAAAGGAAUUGACGGGGGCCCGCACAAGCAGCGGAGCGUGUGGUUUAAUUCGAUUCUACACGAAGAACCUUACCCAGGUUUGACAUGCAAGUAGUAGUGAAGCGAAAGUGGAACGACCCUUCGGGGAGCUUGCACAGGUGCUGCAUGGCUGUCGUCAGCUCGUGCCGUGAGGUGUUGGGUUAAGUCCCCUAACGAGCGCAACCCUCGCCGUCAGUUACAAGUGUCUGGCGGGACUGCCGGUCUAAAACCGGAGGAAGGUGGGGAUGACGUCAAGUCAGCAUGGCCUUUAUAUCUGGGGCUACACACACGCUACAAUGGCCAGUACAAUAGGUUGCCAACCCGCGAGGGGGAGCCAAUCCUAAAAAGCUGGUCUCAGUUCGGAUUGGAGGCUGCAACCCGCCUCCAUGAAGUCGGAGUUGCUAGUCAACGCAGGUCAGCUAUACUGCGUUGAAUACGUUCCCGGGCCUUGUACACACCGCCCGUCACGUCAUGGGAGCUGGUAACACCUGAAGCCGGUGCGCUAACCGCAAGGAGGCAGCCGUCGAGGGUGGGACUGGUGACUGGGACGAAGUCGUAACAAGGUA